GUUGGGUUGUAAUGGUUAAUGGU
rnacentral:siRNA from 1 species